UUCCUACGGGGGGCAGCAGUGAGGAAUAUUGGUCAAUGGGCGCAAGCCUGAACGAGCGAUGCCGCGUGAGUGAAGAAGGCCUUCGGGUCGUAAAGCUCUGUUGCGGGGGAGAAAAGGCAGCAUCAGGAAAUGGGUGCUGACUGAUGGUGCCCCGCCAGAAAGUCACGGCUAACUACGUGCCAGCAGCCGCGGUAAUACGUAGGUGGCGAGCGUUAUCCGGAAUGAUUGGGCGUAAAGGGUGCGCAGGCGGUCCUGCAAGUCUGGGUGGAA
rnacentral:rRNA from 1 species